rnacentral:rRNA from 1 species
CGGCGUGCCUAAUACAUGCAGUCGACCGAGAAGCCUAAUUCGGAUAGGUGGAGAGUGGCGCACGGGUGAGUAACACAUGGCUGACCUGCCCCUCAGAGGGGGACAAGCGCUGGAGACGGUGGCUAAUACCCCAUGGGCUCGUCUGGGUUAGAGGCCGGACGAGGAAAGGCUGAGGCGCUGAGGGAGGGGGCUGUGGCCCAUCAGCUAGUUGGUAGGGUAAAGGCCUACCAAGGCGACGACGGGUAGGGGGCCUGAGAGGGUGACCCCCCACGCUGGAACUGAGACACGGUCCAGACUUGGACUGAACGCAGCAGUAAUGGAUAUUGCGACGAUGGGCGAAAGCCUGACGCAGCAACGCCGCGUGCGGGAUGAACGCCUUCGGGUUGUAAACCGCUUUUCGGGGGGAAGAGGAAGGACGGUACCCCCGGAAUAAGUCUCGGCUAACUACGUGCCAGCAGCCGCGGUAAAACGUAGGAGGCGAGCGUCAUCCGGAUUUACUGGGUGUAAAGCGCGUGCAGGCGGUCGAGUAAGUCGAGCGUGAAAGCUCCCGGCUCAACCGGGAGAGGACGUGCGAAACUGCUGGGCUGGAGGCAGGUAGAGGCGUGUGGAAUUCCGGGUGUAGUGGUGAAAUGC